AGAGUUUGAUCCUGGCUCAGGACGAACGCUGGCGGCGCGCCUAACACAUGCAAGUCGAGCGGAGGGAAACCUCAGCGGCGGACGGGUGAGUAACACGUGGGUAUCUGCCCCCGAGUCUGGAACAACAGCUGGAAACGGCUGCUAAUACCGGAUGUGGCCAUGGCUAAAGCCUUUGGGCGCUCGGGGAUGAGCCCGCGGCGGAUUAGGUAGUUGGUAGGGUAAUGGCCUACCAAGCCGACGAUCCGUAGCUGGCCUGAGAGGGUGGUCAGCCACACUGGAACUGAGACACGGUCCAGACUCCUACGGGAGGCAGCAGUUGGGGAUCUUGCACAAUGGGCGAAAGCCUGAUGCAGCGACGCCGCGUGAGCGCUAAGGCCUUCGGGUUUUAAAGCUCUUUUCAGAGGGCAGAACGCCUGGGAUCUUCCCGGGUCUGACAUCAACUCUGGAAUAAGCCCCGGCUAACUACGUGCCAGCAGCCGCGGUAAUACGUAGGGGGCAAGCGUUGUCCGGAAUUACUGGGCGUAAAGAGUCCGUAGGCGGCUUGCUCAGUCGCUCGUGAAAGCCCCGGGCUCAACUCGGGGAGUGCGGGCGAUACUGGCAGGCUUGAGGGCGGGAGAGGCAAGCGGAACGUUGCAAGUAGCGGUGAAAUGCAUUGAUAUGCAACGGAACACCGAUGGCGAAGGCAGCUUGCUGGAACGCUCCUGACGCUGAGGGACGAAAGCCAGGGGAGCGAACGGGAUUAGAUACCCUGGUAGUCC
rnacentral:rRNA from 1 species